rnacentral:ncRNA from 1 species
CUGUGGUGGAUUCGUUGUCGUAUGUUUUCGAAAGGGAAUCCGGUUGAUAUUCCGGAACCGAGUAACGGAGACAAAGAGUAGCGCUUUAAUCUCUCUGUGGGGUUGGCGUUCAACUCAAUCGCGCGGUAACGCAAGCGAACUCGGAAAAUGACCGUCGUGAGUUUCGAAAAGAGUUUUCUUUUCUUUUUAAGGGACGCAUUCCCUGGAACCGGGUUGUCCGGAGAUAGGGAUUCUGGUAUCCAUAAAACGCCGACUUUUUCACGGUGUUCGGAGCGCUCUCGUCGGUACGUGAAAAUCCGAGCGACGCCUGGUAAAUCUCGUACUUGGUCGUACUGAUAUCCGCAGCAGGUCUCCAAGGUGAAUAGCCUCUGGCCGAUAGAAUAAUGUAGGUAAGGGAAGUCGGCAAAACGGAUCCGUAACUUCGGAACAAGGAUUGGCUCUAAGGGCUGGGCCGAUCGGGCUGAGGUUUCAAGCGUGCAGUGUAUGCUUGGCUUAAUUGUGUUGAGGACUUGUUCCACUUGCCACCGGUUGAUCCGCUGGUCGAGUGUAUUCGAGUCUGAACUAGAUCUGGCCGACAGACUGGCACGUGCAGAACCUGAGCUGCGCGGGCUGU